rnacentral:lncRNA from 1 species
GAUGGCGCCCCCAGGAGCUGGGAGCGGGUGACCGGCGGCGGGGAAGCGGCCUGGGCUGGCCCUCAGAUUGCGGGGUCCCGGGGGCCUGUCGCGGGGCCCCCCCGUGACCCACCGACCAGGCCUUCCCCCGGGCCGGAGAGAUGGCCGCCGAGAACAGCAAGCAGUUCUGGAAGAGGAGCGCCAAGCUACCGGGGAGUAACAAUGAAGAGGAGAACUGACCCAGAAUGCACUGCCCCCCUCAAGAAACAGAAGCGAAUUGGGGAGCUUGCCCGGCACCUCAGCUCCACAUCUGACGAUGAACCUCUCUCCUCUGUCAAUCAUGCAGCAAAAGCAUCUGCUACAAGCCUCAGUGGAUCUGACAGUGAGACCGAGGGGAAGCAGCCCUGCUCUGAUGAUUUCAAAGAUGCCUUCAAAGCAGAUUCCCUUGUGGAGGGAACAUCGUCCCGAUAUUCCAUGUAUAACAGUGUUUCCCAGAGGCUUAUGGCCAAGAUGGGCUUCAGGGAAGGCGAGGGAUUGGGUAAAUACAGCCAGGGUCGGAAGGACAUCGUGGAGACCUCCAAUCAGAAAGGUCGACGUGGUUUGGGUCUGACGCUGCAGGGCUUCGAUCAGGAGCUGAAUGUGGACUGGCGAGAUGAGCCGGAGCCCAAUGCCUGUGAGCAAGUGUCGUGGUUUCCAGAAUGUACCACUGAAAUUCCUGACUCUCGGGAAAUGAGUGACUGGAUGGUCGUAGGAAAGAGAAAGAUGGUUAUUGAAGAUGAAACAGAGUUCUGUGGGGAAGAGCUGCUUCACAGCAUGCUCAAGUGUAAGAGUGUGUUUGACAUCCUGGAUGGGGAGGAGAUGCGGCGAGCGCGCACCAGAGCCAAUCCCUAUGAGAUGAUCCGAGGCGUCUUCUUCCUAAACAG